UGGGGAAUUUUGGACAAUGGGCGCAAGCCUGAUCCAGCAAUGCCGCGUGCAGGAUGAAGGCCUUCGGGUUGUAAACUGCUUUUGUCAGGGAAGAAGCGAGUUUCUCUAAUACAGAGACUUAAUGACGGUACCGUAAGAAUAAGCACCGGCUAACUACGUGCCAGCAGCCGCGGUAAUACGUAGGGUGCAAGCGUUAAUCGGAAUUACUGGGCGUAAAGCGUGCGCAGGCGGUGAUGUAAGACAGUUGUGAAAUCCCCGGGCUCAACCUGGGAACUGCAUCUGUGACUGCAUCGCUGGAGUGCGGCAGAGGGGGAUGGAAUUCCGCGUGUAGCAGUGAAAUGCGUAGAUAUGCGGAGGAACACCGAUGGCGAAGGCAGCCUCCUGGGCCAGUACUGACGCUCAUGCACGAAAGCGUGGGGAGCAAACA
rnacentral:rRNA from 1 species